rnacentral:rRNA from 1 species
CUACGUGCCAGCAGCCGCGGUAAUACGUAGGUGGCAAGCGUUGUCCGGAAUUAUUGGGCGUAAAGCGCGCGCAGGCGGAUAGGUCAGUCUGUCUUAAAAGUUCGGGGCUUAACCCCGUGAUGGGAUGGAAACUGCCAAUCUAGAGUAUCGGAGAGGAAAGUGGAAUUCCUAGUGUAGCGGUGAAAUGCGUAGAUAUUAGGAAGAACACCAGUGGCGAAGGCGACUUUCUGGACGAAAACUGACGCUGAGGCGCGAAAGCCAGGGGAGCGAACGGGAUUAGAUACCCCGGUAGUCCUGGCCGUAAACGAUGGAUACUAGGUGUGGGAGGUAUCGACCCCUACCGUGCCGGAGUUAACGCAAUAAGUAUCCCGCCUGGGGAGUACGGCCGCAAGGCUGAAACUCAAAGGAAUUGACGGGGGCCCGCACAAGCGGUGGGGCAUGUGGUUUAAUUCGAAGCAACGCGAAGAACCUUACCAGGUCUUGACAUCCCGAUGCUAUUUCUAGAGAUAGAAAGUUA